AACGAACGCUGGCGGCAUGCCUAAUACAUGCAAGUCGAACGAGAUCUUCGGAUCUAGUGGCGCACGGGUGCGUAACGCGUGGGAAUCUACCCUUGGGUUCGGAAUAACGUCGGGAAACUGACGCUAAUACCGGAUGAUGACGUAAGUCCAAAGAUUUAUCGCCCAAGGAUGAGCCCGCGUAGGAUUAGCUAGUUGGUGGGGUAAAGGCCUACCAAGGCGACGAUCCUUAGCUGGUCUGAGAGGAUGAUCAGCCACACUGUGACUGAGACACGGCCCAAACUCCUACGGGAGGCAGCAGUAGGGAAUAUUGGACAAUGGGGGCAACCCUGAUCCAGCAAUGCCGCGUGAGCGAUGAAGGCCUUAGGGUUGUAAAGCUCUUUUACCCGAGAUGAUAAUGACAGUAUCGGGAGAAUAAGCCCCGGCUAACUCCGUGCCAGCAGCCGCAGUAA
rnacentral:rRNA from 1 species